GCCAGGUGUGGUGGCGCAUGCCUGUAGUCCCAGCUACUGGGGAGGCUGAGUCAGGAGAAUCGCUUGAACCCAGGAGGCGGAGGUUGCAGUGAGCCAAGAUGGCGCCACUGCACUCCAACCUGGGUGAUAGAUUGAGACCCUGUCUCAA
rnacentral:SRP_RNA from 1 species